CCUACGGGAGACAGCAGUGAGGAAUAUUGGUCAAUGGACGCGAGCCUGAACCAGCCAAGUAGCGUGAAGGAAGACGGCCCUAUGGGUUGUAAACUUCUUUUAUAAGGGGAUAAAGCGAGGUACGUGUGCCGGUUUGAAUGUAUCUUAUGAAUAAGGAUCGGCUAACUCCGUGCCAGCAGCCGCGGUAAUACGGAGGAUUCAAGCGUUAUCCGGAUUUAUUGGGUUUAAAGGGUGCGUAGAUGGGUUGUUAAGUCAGAUGUGAAAUCCUGCGGCUCAACUGCGGCAUUGCAACUGAUACUGGCAGGCUUGAGUACAGGUGAGGUAGGCGGAAUGCGUGGUGUAGCGGUGAAAUGCAUAGAGAUCAUGAAGAACACCGAUUGCGAAGGCAGCCUACCAAACUACCACUGACAUUGAGGCACGAAAGUGUGGGUAGCAAACAGGAUUAGAUACCCGAGUAGUC
rnacentral:rRNA from 1 species